rnacentral:rRNA from 1 species
GAACGCUGGCGGCAGGCUUAACACAUGCAAGUCGAGCGGGCGAGGUUGCUUCGGUAACUGAGCUAGCGGCGGACGGGUGAGUAAUGCUUAGGAAUCUGCCUAUUAGUGGGGGACAACAUUCCGAAAGGAAUGCUAAUACCGCAUACGCCCUACGGGGGAAAGCAGGGGAUCUUCGGACCUUGCGCUAAUAGAUGAGCCUAAGUCAGAUUAGCUAGUUGGUGGGGUAAAGGCCUACCAAGGCGACGAUCUGUAGCGGGUCUGAGAGGAUGAUCCGCCACACUGGGACUGAGACACGGCCCAGACUCCUACGGGAGGCAGCAGUGGGGAAUAUUGGACAAUGGGCGCAAGCCUGAUCCAGCCAUGCCGCGUGUGUGAAGAAGGCCUUUUGGUUGUAAAGCACUUUAAGCGAGGAGGAGGCUACUUGGAUUAAUACUCUAGGAUAGUGGACGUUACUCGCACAAUAAGCACCGGCUAACUCUGUGCCAGCAGCCGCGGUAAUACAGAGGGUGCGAGCGUUAAUCGGAUUUACUGGGCGUAAAGCGUGCGUAAGCGGCUUCUUAAUUCUGAUGUGAAAUCCCUGAGCUUAACUUAGGAAUUGCAUUCGAUACUGGGAAGCUAGAGUAUGGGAGAGGAUGGUAGAAUUCCAGGUGUAGCGGUGAAAUGCGUAGAGAUCUGGAGGAAUACCAAUGGCGAAGGCAGCCAUCUGGCCUAAUACUGACGCUGAGGUACGAAAGCAUGGGGAGCAAACAGGAUUAGAUACCAUGGUAGUCCAUGCCGUAAACGAUGUCUACUAGCCGUUGGGGCCUUUGAGGCUUUAGUGGCGCAGCUAACGCGAUAAGUAGACCGCCUGGGGAGUACGGUCGCAAGACUAAAACUCAAAUGAAUUGACGGGGGCCCGCACAAGCGGUGGAGCAUGUGGUUUAAUUCGAUGCAACGCGAAGAACCUUACGUGGUCUUGACAUAGUAAGAACUUUCCAGAGAUGGAUUGGUGCCUUCGGGAACUUACAUACAGGUGCUGCAUGGCUGUCGUCAGCCUGUGUCGUGAGAUGUUGGGUUAAGUCCCGCAACGAGCGCAACCCUUUUCCUUAUUUGCCAGCGGGUUAAGCCGGGAACUUUAAGGAUACUGCCAGUGACAAACUGGAGGAAGGCGGGGAAGACGUCAAGUCAUCAUGGCCCUUACGACCAGGGCUACACACGUGCUACAAUGGUCGGUACAAAGGGUUGCUACCUAGCGAUAGGAUGCUAAUCUCAAAAAGCCGAUCGUAGUCCGGAUUGGAGUAUGCAACUCGACUCCAUGAAGUCGGAAUCGCUAGUAAUCGCGGAUCAGAAUGCCGCGGUGAAUACGUUCCCGGGCCUUGUACACACCGCCCGUCACACCAUGGGAAUUUGUCGCACCAGAAGUAGGUAGUCUAACCGCAAGGAGGACGCUUACCACGGUGUGGCCGAUGACUG